rnacentral:ncRNA from 1 species
CUUUUGUCGGCUGAAAAGGGAAUCGGGUGAAAAUCCCGAACAGACCCGCUGCUGUAAUGCUCACUAACAUAAGCCAGAUUCGGCAUGGAAUGCCACUGUUGCCUGUCUGUAAAGGCAAUGGGAAGGUAACCGAAUUGCAAGGCUGAGCAAAGUCAGAAGACCUGCCAAAUCAUUA